GGCGACCGACACCACGCCGUCUGUAAAAGAAAUCAGAUGAGUAGGAGGACGUGGCGGCUGUGUCGAAGCAUGCGUGCAGACGCGUGUGGAACGGCCGCUAGUGCAGAUCUUGGUGGUAGUAGCAAAUAUUCAAGCGAGAUCCUUGAAGGGCGAAGCGGGGAAGGGUUCCACGCGAACAUUGAUUGGGCGUGGGUGAGUCGUUCCUAAGCCGAGUGGCAAUUGCUAAGUAGCGGCGAAAGGGAAGCGGGUUGACAUUCCCGCACACGGAUGUGGAGGCGGCGACGCUUUAUUGAGGGCGAACACGCUGGCGGUGGCGCUGGGCAGAGUUUUCUUUUCUGUUUGACCGCUGAUGCAUGCGGUGUGGAAUCCGCUUGUCGGGAGAAACACGCGUGUACGGGCAGAGCGCCGGGGCUUUUCCGGCGUCCAGCUCGCCACCGACGGCCCUUGAAACUUUGCCUGCUGGUAUUUUUAUAAUAAAGAUCCACGCCGUGGCGUACCGAUCACCGCAUCAGGUCCCCAAGGUGAACAGCCUCUGCUCAAUAUGAAAAAUGCAGGUAAGGGAAGUCGGCAAAUUGGACCCGUAACUUUGGGAAAAGGGUUGGCUCUAGUGCUGCGUGGGAGUGGUUGUCGGGUGUUGGCGUUUAUUGGCUUGCUGUGCGAGCGCUUGAGCUAGCGUUUCGGCGUUGGCACUGGUGUUUAAUCGGCGAGCUGGGAUUCGCCACGCUCGACGACGCC
rnacentral:rRNA from 1 species